GAAGCUAUAGCUCAGAGGUAGAGUGUAUGCUUAGCAUGCACGAGGUCCUGGGUUCAAUCCCCAGUACCUUCA
rnacentral:tRNA from 1 species